ensembl:lncRNA
CCGGGGGCCGUUGGCUGCGGUGGUGGGAGACGCGGUUCUAACCACGGAACCCGGCGCCAGGAGGAGGGCAGGCCUCGGGACUCAAGCCUGCGUCCCUUCCCGUUCCCUCCCUUCCUGCGCUCGCCUCUCAGUCCAGGCGCGGCUGCACUGGCGAGCUGCAGCUCUCUUCCGUUUACACGUCCACAGACUCGGGGAGGCGGAGGAUGUGGAAUAUGGCACGUACGGGUGCCUCUGGUCUCUCUGCUACUACGGCACCCCCUCCCAACCCACACUCUGUCUCUCCCUCCAAGUUCACCACAGGACAGCAAAGAAGAUGUGUUAAGCAGGAAGCUUAUCGUCAAGGGAGGCAAGUUCUCACCAGCUCAGGUAAGUGAUUCAACCACCAGACUUGAGCCAGGCCAGGAAGACCACUCUGACUCUUACCUAGCCCCCAAAGAGUCCUAGGAUGGGUUUGAAGUAAGAAUUUGAGCUCUUUAAGGAACAUUCUCACUUUCUGGCCUUUGAGGGCAAUGUCUUUCCUGCGCCAUGUACGUGUAUAGCCUUUAGUACCUAGAGGGUGCAUUAGGCAUGAUUUGGAUACAUACACAUGUUUAUGAAUAUAUACCGCAUUCAGAUUUGAAUCCAGGCACUGUCCCCUCCUCAAGGCUUUGAGAAGGAGUUCUCUGCUCAUUUUAGUAGAUGGUGGUGGAACCUGACUGGCCUGUGCCCUAAAGGAGGCAAGAGUUAAGUUUGUCCAUGUGGCUUGUUAUUCUAGUCAACAUCAACAAUAGUGACAUUUUUGGACCGGAUAAUUCUUUACUAUGGGGGUCAGAGGUCAUGUGUAGUAUAGGAUGUUUAGCAGUAUCCCUGGCCUUUACUCACUGGAUACCAGUAAUACUGUCUCAGUUAUGACAACUGAAAGUGUCUCCAGACAUUGUCAAUGUCCCUUAGGAGACAAAAUCAUUCUACAACUAUUAUGUCCCACUUUGUGGCUUGUUUUCUCAGUCUCUCAACAGUGUCUUUGAAGGGCAAAGUCUCCUAAUUUUUAUGAAGUACAAUUAAUCAUAUUUUUCUUUUAUGGAUCAUGCUUUUGGUGUUGCUUCUAAAAAAAAUCUUUCCCUGAUACAACUUGAUAAAGAUAUCAUUCUAAAUAUUUUAUAGUUUGGGUUUAUGAUCCAUUUUGAAUUAUUUUUUUAUGUGGUGUUAAGUAGGGAUCAAAAUUAUUUUUUAACAUUAUUGAAAAAACUACCUUUCUAAAGAACACAUUUAUCGUGAUGAGCACUGAGUAAUGUGUAUAGAAUUGUUGUAUCACUAUCUCAUACACCUGAAACUAAUAUAACACUGUGUUAGCUAUCCUGGAAUUAAAAUUAAAAACUUAAUAAAAAAUAAAAAGUAAAUUAAAAAAGACUACCUGUCUCUACUGAAUUGCCUUUGAAACUUUGUCAACAAUCAAUAGAUAAUUUAUGUAUGGCUCUAUCUCUGUACUCCUGUUUCAUAGAUCUAUUUUUUAUAUUUUAAUACCAAUACUAUGGUCUUGAUUGGAGCAGCUUUUAUGAGUCUUGAUGUCAGUC